GGCUGUUUUGGUGUUGUGUUCAUCUGGGUUUUGCGAUGGAGAGAUGGAUCAGCCUGAAUUUUCUUUUCCUCUCUUGUCGCCUUCAAGAAGAAGAGGAGAUGUCAAGUGGAAGUAGAAUAGGGAUGGAGGAUGCUGUUGAUUUGCUUCGGAACAAAGUGUUUGGUGGUUUAGCUGCUGUUACUGGUACGUUUUUUUACUCUUGUCUUUGAAUUACUCGGGCUCGGAUAUGGUACUGUCAGAUUUAUAAUCAACGAUGUGCUGUGAGUAUACCCUACGAGGAUGGUUGAUGCAAGCCCAUGCUUCUCACAAGUUCAAUUCAAGGUUGGUGUUACUCUAUUUUUACUAUUGUUUCUUUAUCAAUAUUUCAGUACUGGGGCAGAAAUAUUUACCUAUUAUGUAGUUCUUCGUUGAAAGCUGAAUGUAUUGUUUAAACUGUUUUCCCUAGAUGAUGGAAGUACAAUUUGCAUCUAAUUUUUUACUAUUAGAUGUUUAUAUGAAUCCGUGUCAUCUUCAGUCCAGCAAAAUCUAAGUGAGUUCAAGUUUGCAUUGAGCAUUUUCCAGUUCUCUCUCCUCUUAGGAUAAUUUAGGUAGGUUUACUGCGUCAUGCAUAUUCACUUCGUGUCCUUUCUUUCCUUUGUGCUUAGCGAAUGUAACUGAUUGAACUUUCUAUUAUUUUUGGUGUGUCAAUAGAUCCACUUGUAUUG
rnacentral:lncRNA from 1 species